CGGUCCCACUUCAGACCACUUGGAGCUCAGGAACAGGUGGGAACCACCACCCUCUCCCCUUUGCAUCCUCCCCAGAGCCCCAACUGCUGCAGGCGGAGACAUGCUGGCAUCCGUCACCCUCCUUCUCGCCUCCCUGCUCCCUGCUGGAGAGACGGCUCUCUCCCUGAACCAGCCAGUGGUCUCCAUCAGCAGACAGUACGGGAUGUCCGCAACGAUUCUCUGCGAGUUUUCUGACAGUAAGAGCAGUUACAUCCACUGGUAUCGCCAGCAGCCCGGGAAGGCUCCCCAACGCAUUCUCUACUACAACAUACGCACAUCGCAAACCACGAUGGAUUCAGGAUUUAGCUCUUGGAAAUUCCAACCUGACAAGAUUGAUGAUAAGAGCUGCACCCUGCUGAUCAAGGACCUGGGCUGGAGUGAUACCGGCAUCUAUUACUGUGCCAUCUGGGACUCCACGGUGACACAGCUCUCCCCCUUGGCCAACAAACUCCUACAGACCAUGCGAAUGCUCCCCGUUACCCCAAACACCUCUCCUCUCCACCCCCCAAAACGAUCCCCGAGCGCUGCAGGCAGAGACGUGCUGGGGUCUGUCAUCCUCCUUCUCACCGCGCUGCUCCCCGCUGGACAGACGGCCCUCACCUUGGAUCAGCCAGUAGUCUCCAUUAUUAAACACCCAGGAAAUUACGCGAAGUUUCUCUGCGAGUUUUCCGACAAGAGUAUCACAUACAUCCACUGGUAUCGCCAGCAGCCCGGGAAGGCUCCCCAGCGCCUGCUCUACUAG